UCUGCCUGCACUAACAGGAGCCAGCCUGUGCUGAGGAGGCCUGAGGAGGACGUUGGGACUCAUCUACGCCGAUGAGCUGCAGCCUCCUCAGGACCCGCGGAGAGUCUUCAGGGGGAAAUUGGGCUGCGUUCACGCUGACAGGACCCACGGUCUCCUCAGGACCUGCGGACCUGCACUUUGGCUUCAGGACAUAUGGGGGUGUGUCGAUGCUGACAGGAGCCCACAGACUCCUCAGGACCUGCGGUGAGUUUUCUGGGGGAUGUGAGGCCAUGUCCAGGCUGACAGGAGCCCGCGGCCUCCUGACGACGUGCUGUGAGGCUUCCAGACGAUGUGAGGCAUAGUCCACAGUGACAGGAGACCCGGCGUCCUCAGGACCAGCUGACUAUGACUCAGGAACACGUGGGGCCACGUCCACACUCACAGGAGCCCGGCUUCCUCAGGACCCCCUGGAGGACUCUGGAGGAGCCGUUGGGGGCCAUGUCCACAUCAGAAGGGAGUCCUCAGAACCACAGGGACCUGCACUUUGGCUUCGGGACGUAUGGGGAUGCGUCUAUACUGAUAGGAGCCCACAGCCUCCUCAGGACACGCGGUGAGUUUUCUGGGGGACGUGGGGCCAUGCCCAGGCUGACAGGAGCCCCUGGCCUCCUGAGGACCUAUUGUGAGGGUUCCAGAGGAUGUGAGGCAUAGUCCACAGUGAUAGGAGACCCGGCGUCCUCAGGACCCGCUGACUAUGACUCAGGAACAUUUGGGGCCACGUCCGCACUCACAUGAGCCUGGAUUACUCAGGACCCCGUGGAGGACUCUGGAGGCGCCAUUGGGGGCCACGUCCACAUCAGAAGGGACUACUCACAACCAUAGGGUAAGUGAAUGUGUAGAAUAAAUGGUAGGGUCAGGGGAGGGGAGGCA
rnacentral:lncRNA from 12 species